rnacentral:rRNA from 1 species
UACGUAGGUGGCGAGCGUUGUCCGGAUUUAUUGGGCGUAAAGUGCGCGCAGGUGGUCCGUUAAGUCCUGUGUGAAAUCUCCCGGCUCACCCGGGAGGGGGCGCGGGAUACUGGGGGACUGGAGGCAGGCAGAGGCCGGUGGAAUUCCCGGUGUAGUGGUGAAAUGCGUAGAGAUCGGGAGGAACACCAGUGGCGAAGGCGGCCCCCUGGUUGGAUACUGACGCUGAUACGCGAAAGCGUGGGGAGCAAACAGG